rnacentral:lncRNA from 1 species
GGCGAUUAAACGAUUUGGACAAGUUCCAUUUGGUAUUUCAACAUGUUUGGAAGAGUAAAAAUGAGUUCCAAAAGUGUUGGAAUAGUUUUAGCGUUGUUGGACGCGAAAAGAAAUCGAAACAGAUCGAAAAACAGCUUUCUGGAGCUGGUGUACCGGUACACGCAUGAUGGCUGUACCGGUACAGCCAUCGCUGCCAGACUGCGCAGCCCUCGGGUUUGCUCUCGGGUUUGGCCGUUACGCAGGGCGCGUACCGGUACGCAAACCCGUGUACCGGUACACGAGCGCGCAGCAGCGGGUUAAGUUGCAAAAUCUGAUAAAAGGAGGGCUUUUUAGCAUUUUGUUACAAUAGGUAACUUAACCCCCUCACUCUCAGCUCUCUCCUCUCUCACUCCCACAGCCCCUCUCUCUCUCUAGCUCUCUCUCUCUCUCUAACCGGUUGGGAGAAAANN